ensembl:snRNA U6 U6 spliceosomal RNA
GUGCUCGCUUCAGCAGCACAUACACUAAAAUCAGAACGAUACAGAGAAGAUUAGCAUGGCCUCUGCGCAAGAAUGACAUGCAAAUUUGUGAAGCGUUCCAUAUUUAA